rnacentral:rRNA from 1 species
AAAGCAGGGGACCUUCGGGCCUUGCGCGAUUGGAUGAGCCGAUGUCGGAUUAGCUAGUUGGUGAGGUAAAGGCUCACCAAGGCGACGAUCCGUAGCUGGUCUGAGAGGAUGAUCAGCCACACUGGAACUGAGACACGGUCCAGACUCCUACGGGAGGCAGCAGUGGGGAAUAUUGGACAAUGGGCGCAAGCCUGAUCCAGCCAUGCCGCGUGUGUGAAGAAGGCCUUCGGGUUGUAAAGCACUUUUGUACGGGAAGAAACCUUCCGGGCUAAUACCCCGGGAGACUGACGGUAC